UCGGAUAAUCCAUUUUUACAAGAUUUUACAAGAUUAGUACUUACAUGAGCUUGUGUUUCAUUUGUUCCUGUUGCAGGUAUCGUGGUUUUAUUCUCCUCCUCACAUUCCUCUUCUACACAGCCUACCACCUCUCCAGGAAGCCAAUCAGCAUUGUUAAGAGUGAACUGCAUAGAAACUGUUCAUUAGUCAUUCGACCAGCGUACCUCAACAUAACUGAUAAUGAUACCUGGUGUGACUGGGCGCCUUUUGAUCAAUCAACU